CCCUUAGAUGUUCUGGGCUGCACGCGCGCUACACUGAUGCAUUCAACAAGCCUAGCCUUGACCGAGAGGUCCGGGUAAUCUUUGAAACUGCAUCGUGAUGGGGCUAGAUUAUUGCAAUUAUUAAUCUUCAACGAGGAAUGCCUAGUAAGCGUGAUUCAUCAAAUCGCGUUGAUUACGUCCCUGCCCUUUGUACACACCGCCCGUCGCUCCUACCGAUUGAAUGUGUUGGUGAGGAGCUCGGAUUGGCAGCAGUUGGUGGUUCGCCACCGGCUAUUGCUGAGAAGUCCUCCAAACCGCCCCAUUUAGAGGAAGGAGAAGUCGUAACA
rnacentral:rRNA from 1 species